rnacentral:lncRNA from 1 species
AUUAGUGUGGCAGAGAUGGUAUGCAAGUUGUCUGGCCUGAAGCAGCCUGUGCCGAAAGGUACCCAAGUGGCCUGAAACAGCUAAUGCAUAUCUCCCUCAAGCCCCUCACUUAUUAGAGAGGAGUGAUUCAUCACCUGCUUGGCAACUGAAUCUGACUCAUAGAUGAUUUGAAAUGAGAGUGUAGGCAGGGGAGUGCAAAAGUACUUGGCCAAAAGGAUCAGUUCUCACAGCGGCUUGCACCACCUUUUUAGAGAUGGGGUAGUCAUGAAAGUAUUUGUUAAGUGCUCAUUAGAGGCCCUUUUAGUGCAUCAUCUAAUGCUGGCUUCUUGUGAUCCUUUUCUAGACUUUGAUAGGGUAAGGUGGUGGGUGUUAGGCUAAGGGGAGGUGGGAGCAGGUCGGUGAGGCUCUUACAGGCCCCCUGGUGGUCAGUUCAAAGAACCACAUGCACUUGUGUGCUAUUGAGGAGAAAGGGAUUCAGGGUAAAUGAGUAUUAUGGUGAGAAACUACUAUCGUAACCCAACAACUGCUGUAAUUGGGGUGCAUGGAGUCAGACAGUUCUUGGGAGGGAAGGCAAGAAGUCUCAUGUUUUGACUGUGUUUGUUUCACAAUCACCACAGAAUAAAAGUGUAGAAAAUGCUUGUGGUGUAUUAACUCUUUUUCUGUAUUUAAGUUACUGAGAUUAACAUAUACUUAUAAUUAAAUUCUAAACUUUU